rnacentral:rRNA from 1 species
CCUACGGGAGGCAGCAGUCGAGAAUUUUUGACAAUGGGGGAAACCCUUAUCGAGCGACGCCGCGUGGAGGAUGAAGGUCUUCGGAUUGUAAACCUCUUUCAGCAGGGACGAAGCGAAAGUGACGGUACCUGCAGAAGAAGCACCGGCCAACUACGUGCCAGCAGCCGCGGUAAU